rnacentral:rRNA from 1 species
UACGUAGGGGGCAAGCGUUGUCCGGAUUUAUUGGGCGUAAAGAGCGCGUAGGCGGAGAUCUAAGCGUGGCCUGAAAGCCCCGGCUCAACCGGGGAGUGCGGCUGCGAACUGGGUUUCUUGAGGACGAUAGAGGAGAGUGGAAUUCCUGGUGUAGCGGUGAAAAUGCGCAGAUAUCAGGAGGAACACCAAUUGCGAAGGCAGCUCGCUGGGACGUUACUGACGCUGAGACG